AUUGAACGCUGGCGGCAGGCUUAACACAUGCAAGUCGAGCGAGCGGCGGACGGGUGAGUAAUGUCUGGGAACCUGCCUACUGGAGGGGGAUAACUACUGGAAACGGUAGCUAAUACCGCAUACCAUCAGAUGUGCCCAGAUGGGAUUAGCUAGUUGGUGGGGUAAUGGCUCACCUAGGCAACGAUCCCUAGCUGGUCUGAGAGGAAGACCAGCCACACUGGAACGGAGACACGGGCCAGACUCCUACGGGAGGCAGCAUUGGGGAAUAUUGGACAAUGGGGGCAAGCCUGAUGCAGCCAUGCCGCGUGUGUGAAGAAGGCCUUCGGGUUUGAAAGCACUUUCAGCGGAGAGGCGUUACUCGCAGAAGAAGCACCGGCUAACUCCGUGCCAGCAGCCGCGGUAAUAC
rnacentral:rRNA from 1 species